UGAAGGGAGGUUUAUUCAUAUCUCCUCAGAAAGAGUGUCAUACAACAAAUAGAAAGAUCGCUGUGUUCUAAAGAAUGCAGCGUCAUAUGGGGACAGUUCCAACUCAGUAACAUCCACAGGGUAUGGUCAUGGAUAGCCCCCUGGCAGCUUGGAGGUGACUUAGCAUCAUGAUAGCUCACAGAGAUGGCUGACGACAGCAGUAAUGUCUUAUGUGGCCAGAACCACAGCUCAGACAGCUCCAUUAGCUGCUUCAGUCAUCUUUUGCUGCCACCUAAUAGUGAAACCCAUGGCUCCUUUGGAUGGUGGUGGGAGCAUCUGUAUGUCAGGUACAGCUGUGUUAUGGCAGUGUUUUGAGCUUUUAGGGAGUAGCUGGCUCAUUGUCAGCAGGGUUGAUGGGAAAGCCACCAGCAAGAAGGCUUGAGCAACCUCUCCUUACAAGCAUUCUUUUCCCUGUUGCUUAUGAGGCUGAAACUUUGGCCUUUCCACUUAAAGGAAACCCUUUAUGGUUUCUUUUUGACUUCCCCAAAUAGCCAAACCACCUUUCCUUCAAACUGGUGUCAUUAUUAAAUAAAACAAGGGAUAUUUGAGCAUAAAUACGGUGUAGGGGGCCUAUACCAUGUGGACAUCAAACAAAAGAGUGAUUCUUGCCCUUUUCUGGGUAGAGCAUGUCAGUGCAGUAUGUCACCACACCAUUUGACAUACAGUUUAAAGUGUCCGCAUUUUUCAAUUUGUGAAAAAUUUCCAUCUUGGAUUUUUAGACGACCGCCACUGAGUCCACUGGCAGAAGAUACCACCAGAUGGGGCCUCAGAGAAAACCCCAAGAGCAGACUCAUGGUACCAAAGAAGAUUGUUGUUGUGUGUGGUUUUUUGUUUGUUUUUUUGGUUUUUUUUGGGGGGGUUGUGUUUUUUUUUGUUGUUGUUUUGUUUUGUUUUUACCAUCUGUCGUGGAUAUUCCUGGAACCCAUAGGAUCAAUGGCAGAGGGUCUCGGAAAUCUGGAGACGCCAUCCACAACUACAGACAGAGCGAUAUCUGUUCUGUUAAUGGAACCCUCAUGCUGACUGAGAAAACUAUGGUCAAACACUGCUGGGCCUUGUGAGAAUUUUGGUUUCUUUGAAAACAGAAGCGUUUUUUUGUUCUAAUCCCAGGUGUGAGAUAAGGGGCUGCUUCAGAAAGUCCACGGCAGCUGACUAUGAUUUGCCUCCUGUUUUAGUAAAAGGUGUGGUUUUGACCGCUACAGAGAGUUUCUGUGAGCUUGUGACAUUUGGAAUUCUGGGGACUCUUCAGAGAGUAUAUAAAUGCUAGAGCCCCAAUAGAAGGGUCUGGCUGGCUGGUUAGCGGUUGGCUGCGGUUGGCUGCGGUUGGCUGCGGUUUGUCAAGUUGGAUAUGGAGAGACGAUAAGAAGAAAUUGGAUAUCCUGACAGCAAAGACCAAACUUACCCUAAGGAACUUGAUCUCGACCCCCUUUUCCUCCUAUCCUUUUUGCUCUCCCACCUGGUGUUAAGAGAGCGAAAGGGAAGAAGAGAGAUGAAGAAGGUCAAAGAAGGAAAGAACCCAAAGUAGCCAAAAGUCCCACUAUAGGGCCGCAUUUGUGGUCCACAGCAAAAGCCCACCUUGGUGUGAUCCCCCUAGCACAGCAAGGCAGGAAGUCUAAAAACGUACUACCUUCUGUGGGCAAGAAGCGCUCGACUGUGGCUGGAAGUCUACAAUAAGACAUCUAUUCUAUAUCGUUUCCUAAGCACUUACGUUUGCACGUCCAUAAAACGCCAAAGACACGGUUUCAGUUGUUCUUGGCGAUCUACCACACUGGUUCCACGGUCCAAUUACUCGAGCAAGCAACAUCAAUCCCCCAAGCUUCAGUUUCCCCAUCUGUACAGCAGGAGCAACAGGGACUGGUGGGAGACUUAGCUCACGAAUGGCUUCUCUCUGGCUUCUGCCUUGCCAGCAACAGUACUCCUUUUGUAAGGUGGUGCCAUUGUUAAAUAAAAGAAGGGUUUCUUGAUCCUGA